UACGUAGGUGGCAAGCGUUAUCCGGAAUUAUUGGGCGUAAAGCGCGCGCAGGUGGUUUCUUAAGUCUGAUGUGAAAGCCCACGGCUCAACCGUGGAGGGUCAUUGGAAACUGGGAGACUUGAGUGCAGAAGAGGAAAGUGGAAUUCCAUGUGUAGCGGUGAAAUGCGUAGAGAUAUGGAGGAACACCAGUGGCGAAGGCGACUUUCUGGUCUGUAACUGACACUGAGUCGCGAAAUCGUGGGGAGCAAACAGG
rnacentral:rRNA from 1 species